UUCUAUGGUCAGUCUCCUCUAUAAAUUAAAUAAGUAGGUGCCUAGAUAGUUUCUAUCUUCACAAUACCAACCAAUAGCAAUUAGUUAAUCUUAUUCUCAUUCUCAGACACACCUAAUAAUUAUUCUAUACAAAUAAUUCUCGUUAUACAGAAAACAAUGAAAAAUCAAAUUAUGUCCAUUUCUCUUAUUAUUUUGUUUGUUAUUCUCUCCUUUGCCUCUGGUAUGUAUUAUCAAAUAACAUUGCUUAUCAUCCAUUCAUGAUUCAUCCUUUAUCAUGUGUUCUAGAAAUAAUUAAUUAAUAAUAAAUAAUAUUGUUUUAUUGUUGCAGAUGGUAGAUUAUUAGUAGAAGCACAGCUAAUAAAGCGAUGUGAAGUGAAAGAACGCCUUGAUCCAUGCACUCAGGAGAGUUGUCAUUCGUUGUGUGAUAAGGAGUUUUCAAGUAUCUUGCAGCUUGCAAAAGGCUAUUGCCUGGGUAGCAAAAUCU
rnacentral:lncRNA from 1 species